AAGACGCUAGUAUAAUAGACAACUACACCGCCUUGUCGAGGCCGAAUUGUGGGUUUAAGUCCCGCGCGUCUUA
rnacentral:tRNA from 1 species